rnacentral:rRNA from 1 species
UACGUAGGGUGCAAGCGUUGUCCGGAAUUAUUGGGCGUAAAGAGCUCGUAGGCGGUCUGUCACGUCGGCUGUGAAAACCUGGGGCUCAACUCCGGGCCUGCAGCCGAUACGGGCAGACUAGAGUUCGGCAGGGGAGACUGGAAUUCCUGGUGUAGCGGUGAAAUGCGCAGAUAUCAGGAGGAACACCGGUGGCGAAAGCGGGUCUCUGGGCCGAAACUGACGCUGAGGAGCGAAAGCGUGGGGAGCAAACAGG